GCCCGCAUAGUUUAACGGUCAGAACAUAGGUCUCAUAUAACUUGACUAAGUCAUGAGACUUGGAUAUCCUAAGAUCUGAGUUCGAGUAAGGCUUCACUGCUUGCC